rnacentral:lncRNA from 1 species
AUGCAUCAGCUACAUUUCACCAUGCCUCUUAUUUUCUGCAGGAUCACAGACAUGUCCAAGGCAUCCAUGAGUAGCCGGCCUGAGUCUGGCUAUGAAAACAUGGACCAUUUCUCUAUCAAUGUAGAUCACGUUGCUGAAAUGCUGAGAACUAUUGAAUUUCAGACAGAUAUUUCUGGAGAAGAAACUGAGUCUGAAGGGAUUAUCCCAGAAGGAAGUGUUGAAGCUGGAGAGGAAGACCAUCCAGAAGGAUCAGAGGGGCCUGAAGGAGCAGAAGAUGGAGAGAACCUGUCUCGAUUCAGACCAAAGCCACCUAAUAUACCACCUCGGGGACAACACUGAAAAGUCACUUUGAAGACAGAAGCAGUUGGAGAAUGUUCCAGUCAGUCCCAUCCCAUGCUUCUUCCUCCACUCCAGCAGAUGUUUUUCUUGCUUCCCACUAAGUUUUCUUUCUCUGUGCACCUUUUUCUUGCUUCCUUCUAUGCUCUUUUUCUCCCUAUACCAUUUGGCUUUUUAAUUUAUGGAGAUAAUAAAGUUGUGAGUUAUUUGCUAACAGCAAUUCUGGCAAGGUUCGUUGGGUGAGAGAGAUUCUGUUGGACCCCUUUCUUUGGAGGAAAAAAUGAGAUUCAUAGGCAUGGUUAGUGAAAGUUUCCAUAGGGUGCUCAUUCAUAAAUUUCUACAUUUAUCAUUCACAGAGGCUACCUGCAUUCGUUCUUUAUUCCCUACCAGAAGUGGGUGGGGAGUUUAAACUACCAACACCAGCUUUUCCCCAAAUCAUAAAGGGCUGGCUAAAAUGUUUUCUUGUGUUGGGAAAAAGAGGGUCAGCCAUAGGCAUGGCUUUAGCCUGGUUUAGAAACACUUCACUCUUAACCUUCAUCUUCUGCCAGCAGUGAUUUCCCCGUGCCCGGUGCGCUCCCACACACAGGGCCUCCUUAGGGUGCCGUUGGCCAGACAGUGUUGGCUGGUGGUCCCCAGGGGGAGAGCCUUCUCUGUGGGAGCGCCCGCUCUGUGGAACCAGCUGCCCUUGGAGUUGCGGUUGGCCCCUGACCUUCAAUCCUUCCAUCACGACCUGAAGACGUGGCUCUUCCAGCAGGCUGACCUGGACUGAGGGGUUGGGGUUUAUUGGCUUUUAUUGGUUUUAUUGUUUAUUGUGGGUUUUAAAUUUUGUUG